rnacentral:rRNA from 1 species
CGGACGGGUGAGUAAUGUCUGGGAAACUGCCUGAUGGAGGGGGAUAACUACUGGAAACGGUAGCUAAUACCGCAUAACGUCGCAAGACCAAAGAGGGGGACCUUAGGGCCUCUUGCCAUCGGAUGUGCCCAGAUGGGAUUAGCUAGUAGGUGGGGUAACGGCUCACCUAGGCGACGAUCUCUAGCUGGUCUGAGAGGAUGACCAGCCACACUGGAACUGAGACACGGUCCAG